rnacentral:rRNA from 1 species
GACGAACGCUGGCGGCGUGCUUAACACAUGCAAGUCGAACGGAAAGGCCCUGCUUUUGUGGGGUGCUCGAGUGGCGAACGGGUGAGUAACACGUGAGUAACCUGCCCUUGACUUUGGGAUAACUUCAGGAAACUGGGGCUAAUACCGGAUAGGAGCUCCUGCUGCAUGGUGGGGGUUGGAAAGUUUCGGCGGUUGGGGAUGGACUCGCGGCUUAUCAGCUUGUUGGUGGGGUAGUGGCUUACCAAGGCUUUGACGGGUAGCCGGCCUGGGAGGGUGACCGGCCACGUUGGGACUGGGAUACGGCCCAGACUCCUACGGGAGGCAGCGGUGGGGAAUAUUGCACAAUGGGCGGAAGCCUGAUGCAGAAACGCCGCGUGCGGGAUGACGGCCUUCGGGUUGUAAACCGCUUUCGCCUGUGACGAAGCGUGAGUGACGGUAAUGGGUAAAGAAGCACCGGCUAACUACGUG